AAACGACUAUAUAUUAUAAUUUUUGAAGUUUCUGCUUCACGCCAAAUCAAGUGCCAACACAAAGGGAGCUGAGUAUUGAAUGUUGAAUGCAGGAUAGCGGCGGACGGGUGAGUAACGCGUGGGCAACCUGCCUCAUACAGGGGGAUAACACAGGGAAACUUGUGCUAAUACCGCAUAAUAUCAUUGGGUGGCAUCACCUGAUGAUCAAAGGAGCAAUCCGGUAUGAGAUGGGCCCGCGUCCGAUUAGCUAGUUGGUGAGGUAACGGCUCACCAAGGCGACGAUCGGUAGCCGAACUGAGAGGUUGAUCGGCCACAUUGGGACUGAGACACGGCCCAGACUCCUACGGGAGGCAGCAGUGGGGGAUAUUGCACAAUGGAGGAAACUCUGAUGCAGCGACGCCGCGUGAGUGAAGAAGGCCUUCGGGUCGUAAAGCUCUGUCCUAGGGGAAGAUAAUGACGGUACCCUAGGAGGAAGCCCCGGCUAACUACGUG
rnacentral:rRNA from 1 species